rnacentral:lncRNA from 1 species
CCCGGCGAAGGGCCGGAGCGGUGGCGUCGGCAGCUGCGGGGCGUAGGAGUCGCCUCUUUUCCUUCUCCUCCUCCUCCCUGUGAGGCGCGGCGCGUGCGGGUGGCCGUUGGCUGAGGGGCGGUGGGGUUAACGGUCAGCCGUUGGCGAGGGGCGGCGGGUAACGGGCGGCCGUUGGUGAGGCGAGGGGGCGGUGAGGGAUCCGGAGGGCGCCGCAGCGCUGAGGGACGGGGGAGAGCUGGGUUAGCGGCUGGGCAUUGCCGGCUGUGCCCCCUCCCGCUGAAGGCCCGGCGUUUCGUUGGUCUCUCUGAAGCUACAAGCGUUGGACGCUGGAAGAGGUUUCUCCAUCUGAUGGGUCCAGCAGAAAGGAAAUUAACAUAGGGCCAGUGCUGAACUGAGUGACUGUGCCAACAGGGAGAUGCCUACGUAACACGCGUUGCCAGCAAUUGUACUAAAUACUUCACUGCUGAACCAGUUGCUCAGGUA